rnacentral:tRNA from 1 species
GGAGAGGUGUCGGAGUGGCUUAUCGAGCUGGUUUCGAAAACCAGUGUACUCUAUUGGAGUACCGCGGGUUCGAAUCCCGCCCUCUCCG